GACAGAGGGGGCAAGCGUUGCUCGGAAUUACUGGGCGUAAAGGGCGCGUAGGCGGGAUGGCAAGUCGGUCGUGAAAUCCCUCGGCUCAACCGAGGAACGUCGAUCGAUACUGCUGUUCUUGAGGAUUGCAGAGGAGACUGGAAUUCCCGGUGUAGCGGUGAAAUGUGUAGAGAUCGGGAGGAACACCGGUGGCGAAGGCGGGGUCUCUGGGCAAUUCCUGACGCUGAGGCGCGAAAGCGUGGGGGAGCAA
rnacentral:rRNA from 1 species